UGGGGAAUUUUGGNUAAUGGGCGCAAGCCUGAUCCAGCCAUGCCGCGUGUCUGAAGAAGGCCUUCGGGUUGUAAAGGACUUUUGUCAGGGAAGAAAAGGCUGUUGCUAAUAUCAAUAGCUGAUGACGGUACCUGAAGAAUAAGCACCGGCUAACUACGUGCCAGCAGCCGCGGUAAUACGUAGGGUGCGAGCGUUAAUCGGAAUUACUGGGCGUAAAGCGAGCGCAGACGGUUACUUAAGCAGGAUGUGAAAUCCCCGGGCUCAACCUGGGAACUGCGUUCUGAACUGGGUGACUAGAGUGUGUCAGAGGGAGGUAGAAUUCCACCUGUAGCAGUGAAAUGCGUAGAGAUGUGGAGGAAUACCGAUGGCGAAGGCAGCCUCCUGGGAUAACACUGACGUUCAUGCUCGAAAGCGUGGGUAGCAAACAGGAUUAGAUACCCUGGUAGUCCACGCCCUAAACGAUGUCAAUUAGCUGUUGGGCAACUUGAUUGCUUAGUAGCGUAGCUAACGCGUGAAAUUGACCGCCUGGGGAGUACGGUCGCAAAGAUUAA
rnacentral:rRNA from 1 species